rnacentral:rRNA from 1 species
AGUGAACGCUGGCGGUAGGCCUAACACAUGCAAGUCGAACGGCAGCACAGGAGAGCUUGCUCUCUGGGUGGCGAGUGGCGGACGGGUGAGGAAUACAUCGGAAUCUACUCUGUCGUGGGGGAUAACGUAGGGAAACUUACGCUAAUACCGCAUACGACCUACGGGUGAAAGCAGGGGACCUUCGGGCCUUGCGCGAUUGAAUGAGCCGAUGUCGGAUUAGCUAGUUGGCGGGGUAAAGGCCCACCAAGGCGACGAUCCGUAGCUGGUCUGAGGGGAGUAUAGGCCACACUGGAACUGGCACAGGGUCCAGACUCCUGCGGGAGGCAGCAGUGGGGCAUAUUGGAAAAUGGGCGCAAGCCUGAUCCAGCCAUACCGCGUGGGUGAAGAAGGCCUUCGGGUUGUAAAGCCCUUUUGUUGGGAAAGAAAUCCAGCUGGCUAAUACCCGGUUGGGAUGACGGUACCCAAAGAAUAAGCACCGGCUAACUUCGUGCCAGCAGCCGCCGUAA